rnacentral:rRNA from 1 species
CCCGACUGCUAUCGGGAUAAUGCUAAGCCAUGGGAGUCGAACGCCCCCAGCCACGUGGGGGCGUGGCGUACGGCUCAGUAGCACACGGCUAAUCUACCCUUGGGAGGGGUGUAACCCCGGGAAACUGGGGCUAAUAUCCCAUAGACGAGCAACCCUGGAAUGGGUGCUCAUCGAAAGGGCGUGGGAGCAUGCUUCCACGUCGCCCAAGGAUGAGGCUGUGUUCCAUCAGGUAGUUGGCGAGGUAACGGCUCGCCAAGCCGAUAACGGAUGCGGGCAGUGAGAGCUGGAGCCCGGAGAUGGGCACUGAGACAAGGGCCCAGGCCCUACGGGGCGCACCAGGCGAGAAACCUUAGCAAUGCGGGAAACCGUGACUGGGCUAUCCCGAGUGCCAGCCGCUAAGGCUAGCUUUUCCCCAGAGUAAAAACCUGGGGGAAUAAGCGGGGGGCAAGACUGGUGUCAGCCGCCGCGGUAAUACCAGCUCCGCGAGUGGUCGGGACGAUUAUUGAGCCUAAAGCGCUCGUAGCCGGUCCGGUAAGUCCUGUGCUAAAUCCAACGGCUCAACCGUUGGGCCGCAUGGGAUACUGCCGGGCUAGGGAGCGGAAGAGGCCAGGGGUACUCCCGGGGUAGGGGCGAAAUCCUAUAAUCCCGGGAGGACGACCAGUGGCGAAGGCGCCUGGCUAGGACGCGUCCGACGGUGAGGGGCGAAAGCUGGGGGAGCGAACCGGAUUAGAUACCCGGGUAGUCCCAGCUGUAAACGAUGCGGGUUGGGUGCCGGUACGGCUUCGGGCCGUAUCGGUGCCUCAGGGAAGCCGUUAAAUCCGCCGCUUGGGAGUACGGUCGCAAGACUGAAACUUAAAGGAAUUGGCGGGGGAGCACCACAAGGGGUGAAGCCUGCGGCUCAAUUUGGAGUCAGCGCCGGGAACUUUACCGGGGGCGACAGCAGGAUGAGGGGCCAAGCUGAUGACUUUGCCCGACGCGCUGAGAAGGUGGCGCAUGGGCCGUCGCCAGCUCGUGCCGUGAGGUGUCUGGUU